rnacentral:misc_RNA from 1 species
GGUGAAUCAGAUUCCUAUAAGGGU